CUUCCUGGCCGCCCGGCCUCCUCAGGCUCGCCUGAGACCACAAGCAGAGGAGGGGCAGAGAGAGAGGGAGACACAGAAUGGGAAACAGUCUUCAGACUCUGAGCUGUCACCAACUGAGCAACCCAGUCUCCAGGCAGAUUACAGAUGUCUCCAGCCUCUCUGUCUAGAGGCCUGGAUCCGCUAUGCUUGGUGUACCACCAUCUUCACCGGACUCAUGAGGACAGAGGAAUAUGUCAGAGCACUGGGGUGCUCCAGUCAUACUGAGAACAGCCACCAAAAUUGACAGGUACUUAUUUACCUAAGGAAGCAAUUAAAUAGAAACAUGAUCUCAUAUAUGAGAUUUAAAAAUAUGGUUAAGCAAGAAGAAACUAUUCACUAGUUCUUUACAACUCUGUGGAUGAUCUUUCUGUUCUCUUUUUAGCUAAGCAAAGUGUUUCAAACUUCACAAAGAAAGAGAAGAGCUUAUCUUGUUAAAUCGUCUUUGAGAACUGUACUUGUCAGUGAUGUGAGUGGAUGAGUGUGAAUCUUCUGAAAUUGUUUUGUGAGAUCUGCAUACAGAAAAUCUCUCUUGGGAGCCUACUGAUGAUAUCAAACUACACACUUAAGCCCUUUCAGCUCUAGAAGAGUUCAUUUACUUUUAGGUUUGUUAAUUGAUGCAUUUUUGCAAGAUUGUCAGACUGUCCCAACUAUUCCAAAGAAAAUCUCUUUUUUGCUCAUGAGAGUCUUAAGAAUGAAUUCAAUAUCUCAUCCAUAAAAUGACUAUUUUAUUCUUAUCCAUAUUUAUUAUCUGCCCUUUGUACAUUUUAUCACUCUAAAACAUUUUGCUAGCAUGAUCUCAUUUAUCAUUUAUUGCCUCUCUUAUCUUUUGCUACUGGCAGGACACUCAGUGAAUUGUGUACCUUUUCAAAGUAACACAUGCUCCAUGAGGCAAAGUGCCAAAUAUCACUCCCCACGUUACCUCCUCUUUCUCAAAAUAUUGAUUUUCUUCUCUGAGGUUGAUCCAAGAGUCCCAUGAUAUUGGUGGCUGUCUACUGAUCUCCCCAAUGAGGGGUAGGCCCCCUAGGGUUCUAGUCAUGGCAAGCUGUCAUGGCUUUAAAAACUGGCAAGCACUCUGUCAGGAAACAGAUUAAAGUGUAACCUUGCUGUUUCAUACUUCACUGCUAAUAUCAUGACCAUCUAUUAAAAGUGCUUUCUUUGGAGGCAUAGAUUGCUGUUUCUUCUAUAAUAUCACCCGUGUGUUGUUUAAAAAUCUUGUGGUGUGGAAAAUUGCACACAAAAUAGUAGAACUUAUGGGAAAAAAUAUGAUGAGAAGAUCUAUGCAACUUUGUAGUGAGAACACUAAGAAGUAAUUUUUUAACAAUAUCAAAAGAAACAAGACACUGCUACACUUAAAAACAUAUUAAGUUACUAAUAACCUUCCUGUUAAAGCAAUAACCAUUUAAUGAUAGUUUUGAUGGAAAGUGUGGAAGGAGAGGAUUGCAAUAACUGAGUUAUUUAGACAAAAAAAAAACCCAAUAAACACUUCUGGAAUAGAAUAUAUGGCAGAAGAAAGAAUAGCAGGUGACUGGCAUCUUAGAUAGCAGGUAUACCUCCAUUAGUUACAAUAAGCAGUAUACUCAUUAUAGUUACAGUUACUAUCAGCAGUACAGUAGUCUAAUAUGGGUUCAGCUGCCCUUUCAACAGGGAAAAAUAUGAAUGAGUUAAGUAAAAUAACAAAGAACCAACACAGUUUUCAUUCCUUAAGUGUUGAAACUUACAGUUUUCCCUAAUGAACCAGAGAAUGGUAAAUGGUCUUACCUUCUCAUCCACGAGUCCCCCAAAACAGAGUUGUAUUGUCAAGAGUUACCAUUAUUAGGGUAAGGAGACUAUAAUAUGUACAAGUACCAAUUCUCAAAAAGUUAACAAGAAACAAACACUUGUAAGAACUGAAAUUUUAAGUUUUUAAAUUCAUGUAUAUUAAUUUUUUUAACAUUUUAUAUUAUCUCAUAUUCAGCUCAUUGUAUUUUCAAUUUAAAGAACGGUGACUAUGAGAUAUUUCUAAAUUUUAGCAAGAGUGCC